CCUACGGGAGGCUGCAGUGGGGAAUAUUGGACAAUGGGCGAAAGCCUGAUCCAGCCAUGCCGCGUGUGUGAAGAAGGCCUUCGGGUUGUAAAGCACUUUCAGUGGGGAAGAAAGCCUUGGGGCUAAUACCCUCGAGGAAGGACAUCACCCACAGAAGAAGCACCGGCUAACUCCGUGCCAGCAGCCGCGGUAAUACGGAGGGUGCGAGCGUUAAUAGGAAUUACUGGGCGUAAAGCGCGCGUAGGCGGUCUGAUAAGCCGGUUGUGAAAGCCCCGGGCUCAACCUGGGAACGGCAUCCGGAACUGUCAGGCUAGAGUGCAGGAGAGGAAGGUAGAAUUCCCGGUGUAGCGGUGAAAUGCGUAGAGAUCGGGAGGAAUACCAGUGGCGAAGGCGGCCUUCUGGACUGACACUGACGCUGAGGUGCGAAAGCGUGGGUAGCAAACAGGAUUAGAUACCCUAGUAGUC
rnacentral:rRNA from 1 species